rnacentral:rRNA from 1 species
GACGAACGCUGGCGGCGUGCCUAAUACAUGCAAGUAGAACGCAGUUUCGAACGGGUGAGUAACGCGUAGGUAACUGCCUGGUAGCGGGGGAUAACUAUUGGAAACGAUCGCUAAUACCGCUUACUACCAGAUUGACCUGCGUUGUUUUAGCUAGUUGGUGGGGUAACGGCUCACCAAGGCAACGAUACAUCGCCGACCUGAGAGGGGGAACGGCCACACUGGGACUUAGACACGGCCCAGACUCCUACGGGAGGCAGCAGUAGGGAAUCGUCGGCAAUGGACGGAAGUCUGACCGAGCAACGCCGCGUGAGUGAAGAAGGUUUUCGGAUCGUAAAGCUCUGUUGUAAGAGAAGCGGUAUCUAAAGAGAAAGCCACGGCUAACUACGUGCCAGCAGCCGCGGUAAUUG